rnacentral:rRNA from 1 species
AUACGGAGGGGGCUAGCGUUGUUCGGAAUUACUGGGCGUAAAGCGCGCGUAGGCGGAUUGGUCAGUUAGGGGGGAAAUCCCAGGGCUUAACCCUGGAACUGCCUCUAAUACUGCCAGUCUUGAGUUCGGGAGAGGUGAGUGGAAUUCCUAGUGUAGAGGUGAAAUUCGUAGAUAUUAGGAAGAACACCAGUGGCGAAGGCGGCUCACUGGCCCGAUACUGACGCUGAGGCGCGAAAGCGUGGGGAGCAAACAGGAUUAGAUACCCUAGUAGUCC